rnacentral:rRNA from 1 species
AUUGAACGCUGGCGGCAGGCCUAACACCUGCACGUCGAGCGGAGCGGCGGACGGGUGAGUAAUGCCUAGGCCUCUGCCUGGUCGUGGCGGAUACCGUCCGGAAACGGGCGCUAAUACCGCAUACUAUCAGAUGAGCCUCGGUCGGAUUAGCUAGUUGGUGGGGUAAAGGCCUACCAAGGCGACGAUCCGUAACUGGUCUGAGAGGAGGAUCAGUCACAAUGGAACUGAGACAUGGGCAAGCCUCCUACGGGAGGCAGCAGUGGGGAAUAUUGGACAAUGGGCGAAAGCCUGAUCCAGCCAUGCCGCGUGUGUGAAGAAGGUCUUCGGAUUGUAAAGCACUUUAAGUUGGGAGGCGUGACCAACAGAAUAAGCACCGGCUAACUUCGUGCCAGCAGCCGCGGUAAUUC